rnacentral:lncRNA from 1 species
AGUACACUUUGAAGAUAAGAAAUGAUAUGUUUCAGAUGCGUAUCGGGGCAAGCAAUCAAGGCAUCAAAAUUAUUCUAUUUUUCUUAAGCUGUAGUUUUAUUUAGAAAUUCAUAUUGAGUUUAAGCUUUUAUACAAAAUCAGAUUCUGAAUUUCAUAAAGAUUCUCAAGAAGGCUUUCAAAGUUGUAAUUUGAGAUAUGUAUCUUCACAUUGUAGCUCAUCUUAAAUCAUUACGAUUGAAAACACAUAUUUCAAACAUAUAAGAGCAUAUUCAGAAUAUUUGUAUUUAUGUUGAGUUUUGGUAUGAAUUAUAUACCAAAGUUAGGCAAGUUGAAGGAUAAAAUAAAAUCAAUUCAUUUUGCCUAAAUAGAGAUAUCCUUCUCUUCUCCUUUUUACAAAUUUAUUCAACUUUCAGAUUUUAAAGAUGAUUGGAGCAUUACAAAAUAUUGAGAACCCAUAAUUUAAGACAUCAUGCCAUAUGCAAAAUAUAUUAUGUGUUAAGUUAUGCAUUAAAAUAUUAAGAGCAAGCAUGUCAAUGAUCAAAAUCAAUUCUUUUCAAAUAAACUCCUCCUAUUUAAAUAUAAUCUUGCACUGAUUUCAACCUUAAAGUGUGUUUUCAAGUGAUUAAAAAUUUGACUUGAUUCUUCUUAUAUACUUUCAUUUUUACCUUCUUAUGCUCUAUACUCUAUUUGCUCCCUAUCCGGUGGAGUUGGAAGGGGCACGAGGUACUACCACUAGCCUCCCUCUUGUGCCGUUCCUAAUAUACCCUACACCGAAUAGUUGGGUCAAAUAGUGCCGGGUACUACCACUAGCCUCCCCAUUGGCACCAUCCCUAUGAUGAGCAAUAUAGAAAUGUUAAAAUGUUCACUUCAAACUCUCCCUGUUUAAGUGUAAUUAAUUACGGAUUUUAUCCCUUUCACUAGUCUC